AGUGAACGCUGGCGGUAGGCCUAACACAUGCAAGUCGAACGGCAGCACAGUAAGAGCUUGCUCUUACGGGUGGCGAGUGGCGGACGGGUGAGGAAUACAUCGGAUUCUACUUUUUCGUGGGGGAUAACGUAGGGAAACUUACGCUAAUACCUCAUACGACCUACGGGUGAAAGCAGGGGAUCUUCGGACCUUGCGCGAUUGAAUGAGCCUAUGUCGGAUUAGCUAGUUGGCGGGGUAAAGGCCCACCAAGGCGACGAUCCGUAGCUGGUCUGAGAGGAUGAUCAGCCACACUGGAACUGAGACACGGUCCAGACUCCUACGGGAGGCAGCAGUGGGGAAUAUUGGACAAUGGGCGCAAGCCUGAUCCAGCCAUACCGCGUGGGUGAAGAAGGCCUUCGGGUUGUAAAGCCCUUUUGUUGGGAAAGAAAAGCAGCAGGUUAAUACCCCGCUGUUCUGACGGUACCCAAAGAAUAAGCACCGGCUAACUUCGUG
rnacentral:rRNA from 1 species